UACGUAGGGACCAAGCGUUGUCCGGAAUCAUUGGGCGUAAAGAGCGUGUAGGCGGCUUGUUAAGUCUUGCGUGAAAUCUCGGGGCUCAACCCCGAGCGGUCGUGAGAAACUGGCAGGCUAGAGUGCGGGAGAGGAGAGUGGAAUUCCUGGUGUAGCGGUGAAAUGCGUAGAUACUGGGAGGAACACCAGUGGCGAAGGCGGCUCACUGGACCGGAACUGACGCUGAGGCGCGACAGCGUGGGGAGCAAACAGG
rnacentral:rRNA from 1 species